CCUACGGGAGGCAGCAGUGGGGAAUAUUGCACAAUGGGCGAAAGCCUGAUGCAGCAACGCCGCGUGAGCGAUGAAGGCCUUCGGGUCGUAAAGCUCUGUCCUCAAGGAAGAUAAUGACGGUACUUGAGGAGGAAGCCCCGGGUAACUACGUCCCAGCAGCCGCGGUAAU
rnacentral:rRNA from 1 species